CCACGCCGUAAACGAUGAGUGCUAGGUGUCGGGGGUCAAACCUCGGUGCCGACGUUAACACAUUAAGCACUCCGCCUGGGGAGUACGUGCGCAAGCAUGAAACUCAAAGGAAUUGACGGGGACCCGCACAAGCAGCGGAGCAUGUGGUUUAAUUCGAAGCAACGCGAAGAACCUUACCAGGACUUGACAUAUAUAUGACCAUGUUAGAGAUAACAUUUUUUCUUCGGAAACAUAUAAACAGGUGGUGCAUGGUUGU
rnacentral:rRNA from 1 species